AUGUGGAUGUUUAGUACAAAGAAAAAUACAAGCCAGCUGACCAGAAAGACUGGAAUUUCAGCUCCCCACAGCCCACCUCCUUGGAUUUCUUCCUCUCCUGCUCUCCCUCCUUCUCCUCUCAUUUUGCAAGUCCUUCAAACCAGAGAUUAUUGGGUCAGCAACUCUCAUUAUCCUUCCCAAGCUCCAGUCUUCAUUUGCCAGCGCUACCGAAGGAAUGCUAUUACUUCAUCUACAAAGAACAAACAUUUAAAACAGCAUGUGAGCAAAACUGGUUUUUCUUUUGUAUUUUUGUGGGCGCGACAAUGGCUGUAAUCCAACAUCCCCUCAGGGCAGCAUAAAUAUUCACCCACGUCAGCACUGCACAACCCUCCUUCAGAAUAGUAACACCGUGCAACCUGGGUGUCAUCGUGCAAUGAACAUGAAGAAACUGCAGUUUGAAGAGUGUAACUCUAAUGUACAAUUCCAAUGUGCAAUGUUCAACCCUGAUGCAAGUGUGUUGUAUUAUGUGUAUCCCUACUUUUGGCACUGCCAACAAAAUAUUGCUUAUUUAUGCAUGCAUAUGUCACAAACAGGAUGCCAGCCAUAACAGAACUAAAAUUCUGGUUGUUUUCAAUAGGUGUCUUGCCCUUUUCAUAAAUAACAAAAAGAAUUACAAAAACCAUGGUUUAUCUCCUGAAUUUGUUUCCAGCAAUACAGUUAGCCUAUUGUACUCAUCAGGGUUUGGUUGCAGGACCCACCAUAAACACUAAAAUCCAUAGAUGGUAAAGUCCCAUAACACACAUACAAUGGCAUAGUAUAAAGGUGGCCCUUUUUAAAAAAAGUAAAAUCAUUUGUGUCAACUCGUAUCAACAAACCAACCAGUUCAGCACUAAGGCAUUACAGAAAUCUUAUCUUAUAAGUGGGGUCACUCACAUCUCACAACAAUUAAUUGUUACAAUGCAUUGAAAUUAAGUUCAGAGGAUAAAGGAUGCCGCAAAUGAUGCAAUUUUCCCUAUUCAUAAAAAAAUCCUGGAGCUUCAGCCCUUUUAACCCUGGCUCCACUACAGCACUGAUUGAGAGCUACGUUCAGAACACCAAUGGGCACAAUCCAUUGUGGUUAAUAAAACAGGUCAAAACAGUAAUUUCCUUGAGUAUCUUACAAAUGACACACUCACCAAAGAAGGCAUAUACUAAAUAAUACUACAUUUUGAAGGCUGGAGGACCACAGCUUCCGCACAAAAGGCAUAUGCAGUGUGAUCUCCUUAUCCAAGGAUUCAAUGUCCACGGUUUCAACCAGGAAGUGUUUGUGGGCUUCUCAAGGUUCUCCAAUACUAUUCUAUGGUAUGCUUCUGGGUCAAAUAUACCCAAAAUAUAGGAUUCACUAUUAUGCACAUUUUCAUGUAUCCAAUGGAAGAUUUUUUGGAAUAUAUCCUCCAUGGAUAAGUCGGCCAUACUGUAUGUGUGAUCACAAACAUGGCCAUGCAUUAAAGUUUGUGAUACUUUUCUUUACCUCUAUCCUUCAUGGUUUUCAGCCCUUUGUGCAGAGCGAUAACUCUCACCCUUUCUAUCUACCCCCUUUCUAGUUGUCUGUUAUCAGUAAUUUAGUUAAGCUCCUCUGAGCAGAAAUUGAUAGUAGACAUGCCUUCUCAAACUGCAACAUGAACAAAGGAUCUGCAAAGUGUCCUAUUGUUUAACGAAGUGAAAUCCCUGAAUACGCAACAUUCAGGAGGGUUUUAAAAACCACUUCCUAAGGAAACCUCUUAGUGUAGGCUACAAUUGCUGUUGCAAAAAUGCCUCUGGCAGCCUUUGAAAGCUGGCUGUGAAGAUAAACUGUGCACAUGUUUCCUCUGAUGUUUAGAUAAACCUUAACUGCCUCAGUACAUGAAGCUGACACAGGCAAGAUAAGGGGAGCAGUGCUCUUUCGCAAAAAUUGUAUGUGAAAAAAAACACAGGUUGACCUGUAAACAGAUUGUGCAAAUAAUAUUUGUUUCAAAAAUCUAACAUUUACAAUAUUUCAGAAGUUAACUAAAUUCUUUAACCUUUGCUUACUAAAAAAAAAAUCUGAACGCAGAAGUAGGAGGGACAGCACAGGCUAGUCCCUGAAACAUUAUGCCUUCCUUUCCUGCUAUUUAAUAUAAUAAAUAUGAUAAAUAUAAAUAAAAAGUUGGUCCUUGUUAAGGUAAAGUAAUUGUUGUGUGCCUUCUGGGGCUGAGAGUGUGCAUAAUGAGAUAACUUAAUUGUUUAUAAAGGGAACUAAUUAUUUGUAACUCUUUAUUUGGAAUUAGCUAUUACCAAGCCAUGAGAACCAGUGUGGUAGAGUGCAUUGAGCAUUGAACUACAACUCAAGAGACUUGGACUUAAAUCCCUGCUCAGCCAUGGAAAACCAUGCUCAGCCUCAGGGCACUUCCAGACAGCAUCAAAAUACACAUUUUAAAUCUGUAGCAAAACAUCACAGGACCUGAUAGCACAGUGGUUCUCAAUCUGUGUGUCCCCAGAUGUUUUGGCCUUCAACUCCCAGAAAUCCUAACAGCUGGUAAACUGACUGGGAUUUCUGGGAGUUGUAGGCCACAGGUUGAGAACCACUGCGAUAGCAGGACCACACACAGACCUGUUAGUCCUGGGAAAUGCUCCCCUACUAUCCUCACAUCUUCACUUGAAGUACAUCAAGGCCCCUUCCACACAGCUGAAUAAAAUCCCACAUUUUCUGCUUUGAACUAGAAUAUAUGGCAGUGUGGACUCAGAUAAGCCAAUGUAAAGCAGAUAUUGUGGGAUUUUCUGCUUUGAUAUUUUGGUUUAUAUGGCUGUGUGGAAGGGCCCUAAGAUAGAAGGCAGAUGGGGAACAUCCAGCUGAAGUUUUAUUAAAAAAUGUUCUGCGUAAUGCGCUGGACCUCAUGUGCGCACAUACGAAUAGGUUAAUGUACAUACAAGUAGAUUGCUUAUCUCUCUCCCUUCACCAAAUUGUUAAUUCAAGCUCUGUUUAAUAUGAAAAAGAUGAAAAGACAGGAGUGCUUUCAGAGACUUAUAAUUGCUUUCCCAUUCUGCUUCCCUUUACUCUCCUGUGUGUCCGUGGCUCCACUUUUUGCCAGCUCAAUCAGCUGAUCAGCUGUUUGGGCUUUUAAACAGAGGCGGUCCAAACACGAGUUGACUUACGCCGUCGCUUGGGGUGUGCACCAACAGGGGGUGCACUCGAGGCGUAAGGAAGCUUCCUUCCACCGGCGGAGAGUGCGCUUCUCACGAGGCCUCGCCCUUCUUGCAAGGUCUUGCUCUUCUCGUGAGGUCUUCCUGGAGGCCUCGCCCUUCUCGCGAUGCCUUGCUCUUCUCGCGAGGCCUUCCUGGAGGCCUCGCCAGGAAGGCAUUCAGUGGUUUGGCGAGCCGAUGGUCCUGUGCUCUGCAGCCGCUGCUGUUGCCGGAUUGUGUGAGUGUGUGGGAGGGGGGCGCAAAAUUUCGGGGGGAGGGGGGCAGCAAAAUUAGGUUUGCUUACUAGGUCAGAUAACUAGGGCCGGUUAUGCUUUUAAAACAUGCAUGUGCACUACAGCAGUCCACACAGGAUGGAGGGAAGGAAAACAUCUUUUGCUUGACUGCAGGGAUAUACAGUCAUGUGAAGGUGUGCAUUUUGGGGGGAGGAAUCUGGUUUUAAGUGAACCUUUUUAACACAUGCUUUUCAGCUGUUAACCUGAUUCCACCUGCAUUUUGUUGAAAUGUAUGGUAGCCAUCCCCACCUUUUAUUCCAAGUACUUCCUGUUUUUUGCCAUGUGUAGAAGAACCCUCAGAAGAAGGCAAAGCAAACUCCCUCUGAAUAAAUCUUACCAAGAAACCCUUGGCAUUGCCUUCCACAAUGAUAGUAUUGGGUAAACAUGCCAAAGCACAUGCUAUUUUCAGGACCAAAUCAACUGUCUUAGGUGGAAGAUGUAAUUCAGAGAAGAGAAGAGAAGAGAAGAAGAAGAAGAAGAAGAAGAAGAAGAAGAUAAUAACAACAACAACUUUAUUUUUAUAUCCCGCCCCAUCUCCCCGAAUGAACUUGAGGCGGCUUACAUGGGGACCAAGUCCAGUAAUGCAACAAUAAAAUACAACAACAUAAGAUAUAUCAAAUUACAAUGAAUUAAUACAUAAAAACAUAUAAAAAUAAUAAAAGUAUAAACUCAAUAAUAACUGAAAACCAAUAACCAAUACCAGGGCACAAUGGGCGUGUUUAAAAAUUGGAGGCAAGACAACAAAUUAUAUAUGUGCAAUAUACUGUAAGGUCACUAAUAAGAUGGGCCAGUAAUAAAGUGCAGGGGUUGGGUAUAGGUGCAGGUAAAGGGACUCCAAAUUAGAUUAUUAUAUUUUGCUGUUGGUCAGUAUCCCAUUUUAUUUUGAUUUUCUCCUAAUAAAAACGUGCCUUCCUGUAACACGCAAAUAAAACCCUUAACAGUUUGCAUAAAGUCCUAUGCCACACAGCCCCCUCGUCUGUCUAAUUUGAUUCAUAGUUUCCCUUUGAGCCAAAACAACCUCCCUGUGAUUCAAAACACCUCAUAAUAAGAUUAACUGAAAAAAUAGAUUUUUUAAAAAACACAAUAAUAGUAAUAAUAUAAUUAAAUUUGAACAUUAAAACACAGUUGACUUAAGAACAAUUAAAACCAUACGUACAGCCAAUCAACUGCGAAAAUGCAAACUGAAUUAAAUAGAAGAAAAUAAACACAUUUGCUAAGUGAUGGCAGAACUAUAAAGGAAAUCUUUGAAAAUCAGUUCCAUAGCCUGGGAAGAGUCCCUUGCUAGCCUAGCUAAUUUGCUGUCUGCAAUAAAUUACAGUUUUGGGACUGGUUCUCUUGUGAAACCUUUUAAAUAAGGUUUCCCAUUCUUCCCGCUCUCCCUCUUUCCCCUGCCUUCUCAAUUUUUAGGAGAAAUAGAAGAAAUGUGUUGGUGGCUCUGAAUGCUGGACCUGAUCUUAAGCUGAGGUCUCCUU
rnacentral:lncRNA from 1 species